rnacentral:rRNA from 1 species
UACGUAGGGUGCUAGCGUUGUUCGGAAUCAUUGGGCGUAAAGCGCGUGUAGGCGGUUAGUUAAGUCAGAUGUGAAAUCCCUGGGCUCAACCGAGGAAGUGCAUUUGAAACUAAUUAGCUAGAGAGUGGUAGAGGGCGGUGGAAUUCCGUGUGUAGAGGUGAAAUUCGUAGAUAUACGGAGGAAUACCGGUGGCGAAGGCGGCCGCCUGGACCAUUUCUGACGCUGAGACGCGAAAGCGUGGGGAGCAAACAGGAUU